AUGGCGGACGGGUGAGUAACGCGUAAGAACUUGCCCUUUAGACUGGGAUAACAGAGGGAAACUUCUGAUAAUACUGGAUAAGUUAGUAUAUCGCAUGAUAUGCAAAAUGAAAGCUACGGCACUAAAGGAGAGCUUUGCGUCCUAUUAGCUAGUUGGUAAGGUAAGAGCUUACCAAGGCGAUGAUAGGUAGCCGGCCUGAGAGGGUGGACGGCCACAAGGGGACUGAGAUACGGCCCUUACUCCUACGGGAGGCAGCAGAA
rnacentral:rRNA from 1 species